UAGGGAAUCUUCCGCAAUGGACGAAAGUCUGACGGAGCGACGCCGCGUGAGCGAAGAAGGUCUUCGGAUCGUAAAGCUCUGUUGUUAGGGAAGAAGAAGUGCCGUUCGAACAGGGCGGCGCGGUGACGGUACCUAACGAGAAAGCCCCGGCUAACUACGUGCCAGCAGCCGCGGUAAUACGUAGGUGGCAAGCGUUGUCCGGAAUUAUUGGGCGUAAAGCGCGCGCAGGCGGUUCCUUAAGUCUGAUGUGAAAUCUCGCGGCUCAACCGCGAGCGGCCAUUGGAAACUGGGGAACUUGAGUGCAGGAGAGGGGAGCGGAAUUCCACGUGUAGCGGUAAAAUGCGUAGAGAUGUGGAGGAACACCAGUGGCGAAGGCGGCUCUCUGGCCUGUAACUGACGCUGAGGCGCGAAAGCGUGGGGAGCGAACAGG
rnacentral:rRNA from 1 species